GGCUGUUAUGGUAGAGAUAGGAGACUGGCAAACGGUGUCCAAACACUUUGCAUUGCAAACUACAUUUUCAUGUUGACUUCUAUGUCUGCACAUGGACAGCCACACAAAACUUACAGCGGUUGAUAUCUUUCUCCUUAACAGUGACUGUAAAAGCGAAGAACAUGGGGAACCUAAACCUUUAGUGUAUUGGAUUCACUCCAUGCUGUCGUCUUAUCUUUAUUGCAAUCUAAUGUAAAACAGUCCUGGUGGUUUGUGUCCUGAAUAGACUACAAUAUGGCUGGACUUCUGUCACCUGGCUGCUCUUGUUGCUCAUGUUUGUUAUUUUUGUCAGUUUAGUUGCUGGGCUGGAAAGAAUUUUCUUCAGUCAUUCUUGACAGAGUGGGAACAAUGUGUAUGGAAGUUCAGUGACAGUUGUGUUUUUCUCUCCAAAUCCAGCAUAAACCCAGCGAGUACAAAUGAGCAAGUUAUGAAUAGUUCUUGUCUCACUUGCUGGGUAAAUAUCUCUGGUUUGACUUGGACCACAGUUGAUGAAUAGAUUGUGUAAAUGGAUGUAAACUUGCUUUCAAUGAAAGCCAUUACAGCCAUUAGGAGCUUAAAUAGGGCCUACCGUAAACUCCCUUUAGGAAAAUUGCAGAGUGGUUUCUUUUAUUUGGGCUACUACAUUCCAGGGAAGUUAACAUCUGGAUUUAAACAUACAUCUUCAGAUAUCCAUCGGUUUCAUUAGCACUGUUGUGAAGUGUUUGAAACAUUUUUGUACUUUUUGACUGGUACCUUUGUUUUCUUAUCAGUCCACAAGGCUCAAGGCUAGUCUUGCACUGGUGGCACUGGUGCACCAGCAUACAAGUGCACCCAAAUUCUCAACAUCACAUGAAAGUUUUACAAGUUAAUUUUUGUAUGAUGUUGACUUGUAAAUAUUUAUUUACCAUCUAAUAAACAUAAAGUUCUUCAUUUGAAACUGAAAUGUACAAGACAUGUAACUAAGCCUUUGAAGCUGCAAUAGGUAAUUUAAAACAACAAAAAACGUCUUUUUUUUAUAUAUUCCUGAAAAUUUUAACCAUGUUGUGUCAGUAUAUGAUGGUACAGAUAAUCUGUGAAAAAAUGGAACUCCUUUGCCCCCUCCCUGUAGUCCUACUGCCAUCUGCUGAAAUACACAGACAAGAGAUCAGAGCCAGGAGGAGGGUCUUAGUGUCGUCAAUCACUCUUGUGUAUGUACUGCUUAAUGUGCUAAUUACAGGGAGACAACUUACCGUUAUGAGAAAAUGUUAUCUUUAGUCUUUGGUGGACAUGCUAACUAGCCUAAACAUUGACAGCAGGCUCCAGUGUGAGGAAGGAACUGUAGCCUAGCAGAGAGUACUGACCCUUUUCCACCUGCUCUACUGCAGCAGCCCGGUUCAGCUCGUCUCUACUUUGGAGUGAACGUGUUUCCACUGGUGGCUCCGCUCUGCAGCAGGGUGAUGUCUCCUGACAGUUGGGGGUGUAGCGCCCCGCCUCCAGACGGCACGCGACCUAACAGAAGUUAUUGUUUUUCUGAUACAAAAGAAGAAGAGAGGGCUGAGCUAUUGUUUUAUACCCUAAUUGUGAUUUUUCUGAGACUUCAAGAAAAUGCAUGGUGGGAGGAAUGCUGCAAUUGUGUCAAGGAGGACAGCUGAUCUUCACCUUGCAGUGGGCGGAAAGCAGGUGGCUCAGAUGUUGUAGGAUGUUGGUAAACUGCCGCUGCAGACCAUCGUGGUUCUUCCUGCUCCUCUGAGUUGUAGGACGUCUCAUCAGUGUCCGUCUUCCUGAAUGCUGGUCUGUGUUUACCUUCAGGAUGUUCAGAGACCUUCACCUUUCUGGAGCAGGAAUCACAUGAGCUCAAUAAGCUGAUCAAACAUUUCUGAUUAAAAAAAGUGUCUGGUCUUACAGAGUUGAAAUGCAUUAACAAUCUGUUUUUAACUUCUCAAUACGUUUAAUUAUGAUUCACCUGAUGUCCAAGUUAUAGCUGAGAACAAAUAAAGCCGUAUUCCUUCCAA